GAACUGGAAUAGCUUCAUGUGGAAAAGAGCUUAAAAUUAAACAGCAUCAGGAAACAUCCAGUUCUUAUCCUUAUACUGACAAUCAUGACAGUAUUUCAUUUAUAGUAUUCAUGACUGUAUUUCAUUCCUUGAACUUUUGACUCUUGACAAGCCCUUCCCAGCUCCAGGUGUGAGCGGCACAAGUUAGCUCUCAAACAUAAAGCAGGUGAAAG
rnacentral:lncRNA from 1 species